AGUGGGGAAUAUUGCACAAUGGGCGCAAGCCUGAUGCAGCCAUGCCGCGUGUAUGAAGAAGGCCUUCGGGUUGUAAAGUACUUUCAGCGGGGAGGAAGGGAGUAAAGUUAAUACCUUUGCUCAUUGACGUUACCCGCAGAAGAAGCACCGGCUAACUCCGUGCCAGCAGCCGCGGUAAUACGGAGGGUGCAAGCGUUAAUCGGAAUUACUGGGCGUAAAGCGCACGCAGGCGGUUUGUUAAGUCAGAUGUGAAAUCCCCGGGCUCAACCUGGGAACUGCAUCUGAUACUGGCAAGCUUGAGUCUCGUAGAGGGGGGUAGAAUUCCAGGUGUAGCGGUGAAAUGCGUAGAGAUCUGGAGGAAUACCGGUGGCGAAGGCGGCCCCCUGGACGAAGACUGACGCUCAGGUGCGAAAGCGUGGGGAGCAAACAGGAUUAGAUACCC
rnacentral:rRNA from 1 species